rnacentral:rRNA from 1 species
UACAGAACGCCCGGGCUUCGGCCUGGUUAUUCAUAACCCUUUGUUGUCCGACUCUGUUGCCUCCGGGGCGACCCUGCCUUCGGGCGGGGGCUCCGGGUGGACACUUCAAACUCUUGCGUAACUUUGCAGUCUGAGUAAACUUAAUUAAUAAAUUAAAACUUUUAACAACGGAUCUCUUGGUUCUGGCAUCGAUGAAGAACGCAGCGAAAUGCGAUAAGUAAUGUGAAUUGCAGAAUUCAGUGAAUCAUCGAAUCUUUGAACGCACAUUGCGCCCCCUGGUAUUCCGGGGGGCAUGCCUGUUCGAGCGUCAUUUCACCACUCAAGCCUCGCUUGGUAUUGGGCAACGCGGUCCGCCGCGUGCCUCAAAUCGUCCGGCUGGGUCUUCUGUCCCCUAAGCGUUGUGGAAACUAUUCGCUAAAGGGUGUUCGGGAGGCUACGCCGUAAAACAACCCCAUUUCUAAGGUUGACCUCGGAUCAGGUAGGGAUACCCGCUGAACUUAAGCA